rnacentral:rRNA from 1 species
AGCAGCCGCCACGGGAAUACGAAGGGGGCUAGCGUUGUUCGGAAUUACUGGGCGUAAAGCGCACGUAGGCGGAUAUUUAAGUCAGGGGUGAAAUCCCAGAGCUCAACUCUGGAACUGCCUUUGAUACUGGGUCUCUUGAGUAUGGAAGAGGUGAGUGGAAUUCCGAGUGUAGAGGUGAAAUUCGUAGAUAUUCGGAGGAACACCAGUGGCGAAGGCGGCUCACUGGUCCAUUACUGACGCUGAGGUGCGAAAGCGUGGGGAGCAAACAGGAUUAGAUACCCCAGUAGUCCCUGUCUCUUAUAC